rnacentral:rRNA from 1 species
UCCCGAUGCUAUUCUAGAGAUAGAAAGUUACUUCGGUACAUCGGUGACAGGUGGUGCAUGGUUGUCGUCAGGCUCGUGUCGUGAGAUGUUGGGUUAAGCCCCGCAACGAGCGCAACCCCUGUCCCAUGUUGCCAGCAUUAAGUUGGGGACUCAUGGGAGACUGCCGGCGUCAAGCCGGAGGAAGUGGGGAUGACGUCAAGUCAUCAUGCCCCUUAUGUCUAGGGCUACACACGUGUUACAAUGGUGAGUACAAAGAGAUGCAAGACCGCAAGGUGGAGCCAAACUCAAAAACUCAUCCCAGUUCGGAUUGUAGGCUGCAACUCGCCUACAUGAAGCCGGAAUCGCUAGUAAUCGCGGAUCAGCAUGCCGCGGUGAAUACGUUCCCGGGCCUU